rnacentral:rRNA from 1 species
GAUGAACGCUGGCGGCGUGCUUAACACAUGCAAGUCGAACGGAAAGGCCGAAGCUUGCUUCGGUACUCGAGUGGUGAACGGGUGAGUAACACGUGGGUGAUCUGCCCUGUACUUCGGGAUAAGCUUGGGAAACUGGGUCUAAUACCGGAUAUGACGAUCUCUUGGAUGGGGUUGUGGAAAGCUUUUGCGGUAUGGGAUGAGCUCGCGGCCUAUCAGCUUGUUGGUGGGGUAAUGGCCUACCAAGGCGUCGACGGGUAGCCGGCCUGAGAGGGUGUACGGCCACAUUGGGACUGAGAUACGGCCCAGACUCCUACGGGAGGCAGCAGUGGGGAAUAUUGCACAAUGGGCGCAAGCCUGAUGCAGCGACGCCGCGUGGGGGAUGACGGCCUUCGGGUUGUAAACUCCUUUCGCAAUCGACGAAGCCUUUUGGUGACGGUAGGUGGAGAAGAAGCACCGGCUAACUACGUG